AUCACCACCGCCACCGGCAGGGCCACCGGCCUCGCCAGGGACACCCCCCUCCCCGGCGUGUUUUCUCCGGCCAGGCGCCUCACCAACGGGUCUCUGAGAACUCCUGUGUCAAACAAGAGGAAAUUGACUGUGAAAUUAGCAUCGACGGAGACAUACGAUAUUGGGAAAGCUGUCCAAACUCAAGUGAAGUCUCCCCCUUGCAAUCUCUAUAUUGGGAAUAAUUUCUGUGUCCGAAUUUACGACUUUUUCGAUUUACAAAAUUCGAUUCAGAAUAACAAGAAAGGGGGGUUGGUCCACAUUGAUUUCGACCCAGCCGUACACUUCAAGGCCAUGACGCUUUCCGAGGGAGCUGAGAAAAUCUGGAGUGUGCCAAACGCUGGGGGGAACUCUGUGAUUUCGGAGGUCCUUACUUUUGAAACAUUUCACAGAUGUUUCCACGCUGAACUUUUGAGGACUGAGAUGGAGGUCUCCUACUUUCCGGAGGGAGGCUCUAUCACGGAUUACGUGUGUGAUAUUUUCGGCACCAAAGUGGGCGUGUCCGUUACCCGCGCCAUGAAGUACCGGGGCGAGUACACGGAGGAGGACGCAACGAAUCUACUUACCAAAAAACUGAAAGGGGUAAACCAAGCCAAUAGAAACACCCUGGAGAGAUGGAACAAACAGAUCCUCCACGUGUGGGUCCAGAACAAGGAGGCAGCUAAUCUGGUCACCAGGGCGUGGCAAGACCUACCCCCAGACCUUGUCACUAAUACCAUGGUGGUCGUCUCCAGGACACGGCGGUCAGACUUCAUCUUCUACAACCCCUGAGAAGAUGCACAGGCUCUUUAUUAAGUCAAUACAGCGAAAUUUAAGCUUGCACCUCUGGUCCAUCCGAGUCAAUGGACAUGCAAUGAACGGUGUGCAAACAUCUUUUCGAUGUCGUUAAUUAGAUUCUAAUCGCAAUAAGAGAAAUAGAAUGAAGGUAGUGCUUGUGGAUGCUACUAGGAAACAAGAUCCGGUUGAAAGGAACUGAUGCUAAGCAUAGUGGAGAUACUAGGAAAUUCCAGCAAAACAUUUAUUAUUUAUUAAUGCUAUAUAGUAUUACGUUAUUUGUACGUUUAAAUUGGACUAUUAUUGUAAUAAUUUCAAUAUUUUGGCUAUUAAAAUUUUAAUUAU
rnacentral:misc_RNA from 1 species